AUUGAACGCUGGCGGCAUGCUUUACACAUGCAAGUCGAACGGUAACAGGCCGCAAGGUGCUGACGAGUGGCGAACGGGUGAGUAAUGCAUCGGAACGUGCCCAGUCGUGGGGGAUACGCAGCGAAAGCUGUGCUAAUACCGCAUACGAUCUAUGGAUGAAAGCGGGGGACCGUAAGGCCUCGCGCGAUUGGAGCGGCCGAUGCCAGAUUAGGUAGUUGGUGGGGUAAAGGCUCACCAAGCCAACGAUCUGUAGCUGGUCUGAGAGGACGACCAGCCACACUGGGACUGAGACACGGCCCAGACUCCUACGGGAGGCAGCAGUGGGGAAUUUUGGACAAUGGGCGCAAGCCUGAUCCAGCAAUGCCGCGUGCAGGAAGAAGGCCUUCGGGUUGUAAACUGCUUUUGUACGGAACGAAAAGGUUUGGGUUAAUACCCUGGGCCGAUGACGGUACCGUAAGAAUAAGCACCGGCUAACUACGUGCCAGCCGCCGCCGUAAUAC
rnacentral:rRNA from 1 species